rnacentral:rRNA from 1 species
AGAGUUUGAUCAUGGCUCAGGACGAACGCUGGCGGCGUGCUUAACACAUGCAAGUGGAGCGACGAACCAGGGCUUGCCCUGGGGCAAAGCCGCGAACGGGUGAGUAACACGUGGGUAACCUGCCUUGAUGAUUGGGACAACCCCGGGAAACCGGGGCUAAUACCAAAUGUGCUCACACCCCAUCAGGGGUAUGAGGAAAGGAAGCUUCGGCCUCCGCAUCAAGAUGGGCCCGCGGCCCAUUAGCUUGUUGGUGAGGUAACGGCUCACCAAGGCUCCGAUGGGUAGCUGGUCUGAGAGGACGAUCAGCCACACUGGGACUGAGACACGGCCCAGACUCCUACGGGAGGCAGCAGUGGGGAAUCUUGCACAAUGCGCGAAAGCGUGAUGCAGCAACGCCGCGUGUGGGAAGACGGCCUUCGGGUUGUAAACCACUUUCAGUUGGGACGAAGCUCCGUCGGUGAAUAGCCGGCCGGAGUGACGGUACCUUCACAAGAAGCCCCGGCUAACUACGUGCCAGCAGCCGCGGUAAUACGUAGGGGGCAAGCGUUGUCCGGAAUCAUUGGGCGUAAAGCGCGUGUAGGCGGCUCGAUAAGUCUGCUGUGAAAGUCCAGGGCUCAACCCUGGGAUGCCGGUGGAUACUGUCGAGCUCGAGUCCGGAAGAGGCGAGUGGAAUUCCUGGUGUAGCGGUGAAAUGCGCAGAUAUCAGGAGGAACACCAAUGGCGAAGGCAGCUCGCUGGGACGUGACUGACGCUGAGACGCGAAAGCGUGGGGAGCAAACAGGAUUAGAUACCCUAGUAGUCC